AAAUCUAACAAGGUCUCCGUAGGUGAACCUGCGGAGGGAUCAUUACACAAAUAUGAAGGCGGGCUGGAACCUCUCGGGGUUACAGCCUUGCUGAAUUAUUCACCCUUGUCUUUUGCGUACUUCUUGUUUCCUUGGUGGGUUCGCCCACCACUAGGACAAACAUAAACCUUUUGUAAUUGCAAUCAGCGUCAGUAACAAAUUAAUAAUUACAACUUUCAACAACGGAUCUCUUGGUUCUGGCAUCGAUGAAGAACGCAGCGAAAUGCGAUAAGUAGUGUGAAUUGCAGAAUUCAGUGAAUCAUCGAAUCUUUGAACGCACAUUGCGCCCUUUGGUAUUCCAAAGGGCAUGCCUGUUCGAGCGUCAUUUGUACCCUCAAGCUUUGCUUGGUGUUGGGCGUCUUGUCUCUAGCUUUGCUGGAGACUCGCCUUAAAGUAAUUGGCAGCCGGCCUACUGGUUUCGGAGCGCAGCACAAGUCGCACUCUCUAUCAGCAAAGGUCUAGCAUCCAUUAAGCCUUUUUUCAACUUUGACCUCGAUCA
rnacentral:rRNA from 1 species